rnacentral:tRNA from 1 species
GACUCGGUAGCUCAGAUGGUAGAGCAUUAGACUUUUAAUCUAAGGGCCGUGGGUUCGAUCCCCGCCCGAGUCACCA